GGAGUCUAGCGUGUGCGCGAGUCACUGGGCAAAUUAAACCCAAAGGCGAAAUGAAAGUGAAGGCGAGCUUUAAGCUCGUUUAGGGAAGAUGGGCCGGACUAAAUUUAUUUUUAGCGAGGCCUCGCACUCCCGGGGCGUCCGAUCCUCAUCGCGAGGAAAGGCGCACCUAGAGCGUACACGCUGGGACCCGAAAGAUGGUGAACUAUGCCUGGUCAGGACGAAGUCAGGGGAAACCCUGAUGGAGGUCCGCAGCGAUUCUGACGUGCAAAUCGAUCGUAAGAACUGGGUAUAGGGGCGAAAGACUAAUCGAACCAUCUAGUAGCUGGUUCCCUCCGAAGUUUCCCUCAGGAUAGCUGGCAUUCGGAGAUAGAGUUUCAUCUGGUAAAGCGAAUGAUUAGAGGAAUUGGGGACGAAACGUCCUCAACCUAUUCUCAAACUUUAAAUGGGUGAGAACUCCGGCUUUCUUAAAGUACGCAGCCGCGAGUUCGAAUCUAGAGUGCCAAGUGGGCCAUUUUUGGUAAGCAGAACUGGCGUUGUGGGAUGAACCAAAAGCAGAGUUAAAGCGCCAAAAUAGACGCUUAUGAGAUACCAUGAAAGGCGUUGGUAACUUAAGACAGCAGGACGGUGGCCAUGGAAGUC
rnacentral:rRNA from 1 species